AUUCUUAUGUUACGUCAAAAUAAAAUAAUAUUUUGGAAAGUAAUAUGAUUGAUCAAAACAACCAUGCAAUCACCCAAUCUUUCUGCUAUCGAUUAUGUCAUCUUAGUUAUUUGGUUAUUAAUUUAACUCCUUAAGUACGUUGUAUUGUGACAUUAUUGUCAUUGUGUCAUUAUUUACUACUCAUUAGUAAUUGUAAGUAACGUUCUGGUGUCGUGAAUGCUUCCUGUGCCAAAUAACCAAAAAAGGGGUAAUUAGAUUUCUAUGAGAAAUUAGAGAGGGAUAGGAAGAGAAAUGAGGAGAGAGAGAGUGUUUGUGGUUAGAUAGUGAAUUUGUGUGUUUUAUGCAUAUCGGGGGGCAAUUUCCCUUGAUUGUUCAGAAACAAUAAAAUUAGAGGAUUUUCUAUAAGUCAUUUUAGACAUCUACAACGCAUGCAGUCCGUAUAUGUGUAAUGUUUUUGGUAAUUGGAACUUGAACGAUGAGAUUAGUACUGUCCUAUAUUUAUUCUAACAAGUUUCGACUUGACUAAAUUAAGUAAACUUCUUAUCCCAUCAUGGACUGGAGCUUCGACUCGAACACAAAGGUAAGUGUUAUCUCGCAUGUCAACACCAGCUAUGAAUUAGCAACUCAAGAUUACAUGUCCAUUUUUAACAUCAAAACAAGUAAUUGACUUCCCAGAGCUUAAAAUUAGAAAAUAACAAUAAAGACUCUGUAGCGCUCGUUACAAAUACUACUUAGUGGGUUUUUGUUCUACAAACUAUUUUCAGUUCAAACAGAAAGUCAAAGAAGUAUACAAAGUCUACAACAAUCUAUAGUCAAAGAAAAAGUCUAUACAACGGAUGGUGUUUUGUUUUUAGAACCACACAAAGAAGGUCAAAGACCAUUAUUGCCUUCUCUAUAUCACUAUAUGUGUUUACCGGUCCCGUAACUAAACUUUGACAUAUUGGAAGUUUUCUUUAUUGUUUAUCUAUUUUCCUUUUAUGUGAAUGUAAAUUUUUUCCUGCAGAAGAAAGUUUAGCUACAAAAGUGCCUUUUGGUGGCUAAAACAUCUUCGUCGGCCCCCAAGUACAAUCUCAUUUAUAUAAAUGAAAAGAAAAAGAUGAUACAUCUCGACCAACACGCCAAUAUCCCUUUCCAUAUAUUUAAUUUUCAUCUUCUUAAGAUCACUUUCAUGUGCCAUUGCCUAUUCAAACUCUAUACGCUAUAUUAUAUAUAAGUUAAUAACCAAACUCGUUUUCAUGACGUAUAGUCUUCAUUACUUGGUAAUAUUCAUAUUGUCUUUGCAACCAAGAGACACAACAUGGUCAUUGUAUAUAUGAUUCUAUACAUAAUGCUAGAAGCUUCUUCGUAUCAUCUUGUUAAAGACAAACUAGACCGAGGAUGUGAAACCGAUUGAGAGAGAAAUUCAAGUGGAACAAAAUUAACAAAUAUAAAUAUCUGUCAAGAAAGUUGAAUCUAUUUCUUGACAUUCCCCAAAUAUUACCUUUAUAUACGCCUUUAAAAGCUCCACAGGAAGACCACCAUAUACAAUAAGAAAUUACAUCCAGUUUGUGGCUUAUAGAAAGGGUAAUUAAUUAAUAAUAUGUAACAACGUACGGUAUAUAUAGCAGCUAACGAAUUCAUUCACACAAAUCGUCACUACUGUCAAAGUCAAAAUUUGAAUCCAAAUGAGUAAAAAGAUAUACUUGCUUUAAAGAAAACUGUAAUGGACAUUAAAUUAAUUAAACUAAACCCACUUUGCAAAAUUCUACAAUAAAGCAUGAAUCAUUUAAGUCUGAACGGACAAAGAGUUGUUGUAUUUUAGUGAUUUCAAUAAUAUAUGGAAUAACUGCAAUUUGUGGAAAAAUAACUUAAGAACGUCCACCAAAAAGAUACAAACAAAAAAAACCAUGCAACAUGGAAACUACUAUAUGUUAGUCCAUUCUUUACGUCAAUUCUCUUUAAAGCAAACUCUUCGCUCCUCAACUUCUAUUUUACUCUGCCUAAACACUUCUCCUCUUGAGUCACCGUCAGAUCAAACAUGUUGAAAACAACCACAACGGCGACCCUUCUCUGUUUCGUUCUCACCACCGUCGUUCUGAUGGACCAAACUUCCUCCACCGCCACAUACAGCCCAACUUCCUCCGCCUCCACAGACACGUUCAUAUUCGCAAAGUGUUCUCCGGAAAAGUUCUCUCCUGGCUCCGCCUAUGAGACCAACCUCAACUCCCUCCUCUCUUCCCUCGUUAGCUCCACCGUCGCCAGCCGCUACAAUAACCUCACCGUUCCCUCCGGUACCGGAGAAAAAUCCGAACCGGCCGUUGUAUAUGGUCUUUUCCAGUGCAGCGUUGACCUAGACGCAACUUCUUGCUCAUCGUGCGUAUCACGUGCCACAGCACUGGUCGGAAACACAUGUCCCAACUCGUACUCAGUGUUCUUGGAGAUGCAAAGUUGUCUGGUCCGGUUCGACAAGAGCUCGUUCUUUGGCGUUCAGGACAAAACAGAGAUGCUCAAGAAAUGUGGACAGCCGAUGGGAUUUAACGACCAGGAUGCGUUGACCAGAGUCAGUGACGUCAUGGGUUCGUUAAGUUCAGGGAGUGGAUCUGACAGGUCUGGAGGGAACGGGGAUGUUCGGGGUAUGGCUCAGUGCAUGGGUGAUCUAAGUCCAGCACAGUGUCAGGAUUGCUUGACUGAUGCAAUCGGACGGCUCAGUUCUGACUGUGGUAUGUCCCAGGGAGGAUACGUUUACUUGUCCAAGUGCUACGCGCGUUUUAGCUACGGUGGUAGUCACGCUCGUCAGACCCCAAACUCAAACUCAAACUCAAACUCAAACUUUGCAGGAGGAGAUAAAGACGAUAAAAAUAAUGACGGCAUCGGAAAAACAUUGGCGAUAAUUAUUGGGAUCAUCACCUUAGUCAUCUUGCUCGUUGUGUUUCUCGCUUUUCUUGGAAAGCAAUUGAGAAAAUUACAAGACGAGAAAUGUUGUAAAUGAAAAGUCAACGUGGGAAAGAGGUCAAUCAACGGCGAGUCAAGCCAUGCAAUGCUAGUUGUAUUUUGGUAAUUAAAAAAUUUGUGACUGGAUGCCUCACAAGAUGUAGUUAUAUAGUAUUUCAACGAUUGUAUUUUGUACUCGAUUUUUGUAUUGUCAUCGAACUUUAGCCAGAAAAAAAUAUAAUGGAUAAUAAUUAACAAACCUUCCUUCCUAUCUUAUUAAUUGGAUAUGGACGUAGCAACAUUCUGGAGUAUUUGGUAUCUAAAAAUCAUUUUAGUCUUCUUUUAUUAUUGCACAUGUGCGCGUAAACACACACACACACACACACACAACCAAACAUAGGAGGAGAGGGAAUGUGUUUAAAAUAAAUGAAUGUGUCCAGAAUAAUGGAACAUGGUAAACCGAAAAUUAGGAUGUGAGAAUCGAGAACAAAAUCAUUCUGUUCGUCCUAUUGUGAAUGUCUUUACGAAUCUUUUCUUCUUAUUCAUCAUUAUUUAUUCUCAUAAUUAAUGACUAAGGAAUUCAAUUGAAGAAUUGGCCUAAUGUAUGCUUUAAUCAUUAAAAUGAUAUAAUAAAACUGUAAGCCGAUUAUCAGAUGAUUUAGGAAUUGGACAUACCAACUAACGUCUAACUCUUUUCCAUAUUUUUAAUCUUCUGAAAGUUUAAAUUCUAGAUUGCACAUUAAUUAAUGAUUAUCCGCGAACAUGCGCCGGAAUAAAAUAUAUAUUCUAAUAACUAACUUUUGCAUAUUCAUCCAUAAGUAUAUCAUGUAAUAAGCUUUUUUUAUAUAUAUGUAUUAAUCUGAAUAUCUAUUAAAUGUGAUUUUUGACUCAUACGGUUUUCUGAUCAUUUUUAUUUUUUAUUAUAACAAAAUUUUAAACAAUAGAUCAUAAACUUUUUUCAAUGUAAGACUUUUAACAGUUUUCAUAAUUUAUAGUCAUUUUUAAAAAUUCAAAAUAUAACAUAUACAAAACAUCUAAAUUAUUAUAAUAUGAUUGUUUAAUUUAUUUUAAUAAUAUAAUAUUAAAAAUAAUGGAAGAUAUGUAAAUUUUUAUCAGAUCUUUAUUAUUAAAAUUAUUAAUUGUCAAAUGUAUAUUUUCUUCACUUUUAGUAAUUCUGUAGCUUUUAUUUAACGAAAAAAAUAAUAAUAAUAAUUGUAGAUUGUUAAUUAAUUUCAUGGUUAGUUUAAUGAAAAAUAUAUAAUAUAUGUUUAGUGGGCCAUUAUAUUUCUCUAGAUACUUUAAGAAUCAUUCUAGUGAGAACAUGUGUCAUAGCUAAAAUGUUGUAAUGCUUCUCUUUGAUAUAUAAGGGAUUUUAAAGGUUUAUUUAGUACAUACUAUACAAUAUAAAAAUCAGUGUAUAAGAGAACAAUGAUUUCAAACAAUAUUCUAAUAUCAUAUCGGUAUAACAUUAUUAAGUUAUUUUAUAUCAAAAGUAUCAUGUGUUAUAUAAUCAAAGGUUACCUGUGCUACAAAAACCUGAUUAGAUUGAAUCGUUAAAGGCAUCCGAGGUUUUUUCGAGUUUCUUAUUAAUAAAACAAUUAAAGGAAGAAAAAUAGAGAGUCGAUCGUCCGAAAAGAUUUCCACAAACGUUAAAUAUUUUCUCUAUACUUAUCUUUUCAUUAGUGGUUCAAGUUUUUAUUAUUGAAUAGUUAAAAUUUAAACGAACACUUAUCAUUUCAUUUGAUGAAUGAUUACAUUAAUUUAUAUUAUAACGAUAUUUUUAAGAAGAAAACUGCAGGCUGAUGAUGCUUUUAACAAGCAAGUACAGUUUUUGGUUUGACAAACUCGAAAGAAGACCACACAAGCAGAUAGAGAAUCUAACGUAGUGGAAUACUUACCAAUGUUGGGCCGACAACACAUAACUUUCGGCCUUAGGUAAGCAAACGAAACUUAUUUCGGCCCAUUGAUUAUUCACGCGGUGGAUAGUAGUGUAGUAAUCCAACAAGUGACACUUCGCCUCUACGAAAGAGUCACCUCAUCAAUGGUCGGAGAAAUCGGCCAAUUAUACAUCAACAAGAGUAUCGCGAUUCCGAUCAGUACAUAUGUGCUAAAAUAUACAUCAACACAAAUUUGUUUUAAAUUUCAUACACAAAUUAAUAAUAAUAUACUAAAUCAUACAUUGACCUCUUUUCUUUUCUAUUAGGCAAACGUUUAUAAAAAAAUGACAUAUUAAAGAAAGCUUAGGUAUCGCUGAACUGUUUAUUACGAUUUAAAAUAUUAAUUAUUAAAAAAAAUUCAAAUACAUUGAAGGUGGGAUUUGAAGGCUGUAUACUUUUCAAAUAAAUAAAAUGUGGUGAUAAAGAGGGGUGGCAUAAAUUGAAUAUUAAAUUUUAGAAGUAUUUGUGAUCCGAUUUGUUUAUCUGAAUAACCAGUUAUCCAAUCGAUUUGAUUUGUAUCUAUCUAGAUAUUGUAGCUAUCUAGAUAUUUGGUAUCUAGAUAUUCAAACUUUUUUAUAUUUUUAAUCGGAAAUCCGAUCCGAUUCGGACAAUUAAAAAAUAAAAAUAAAAAUAUUUUAUUACAGAAAAUUAUUUAUUUUCAAACUUUAAUAACUGAUAUAAUCAAUUUAAUAAAUAAAAUAUUAUAAAACAAUUUAUUAAGUUAAAAUAUUGUAAAAUUUAUAUAAAAUAUAAUUAUAGAACUUGUUCCUAAAAAAAUAUUUUUUACUUCGUAAAUAGAUAUCCAAUUUUUUAGUGUGAUCGAAACAAAAAACAAAUCAAAUCAAACUAUACAAAUAUUUUACUAGCCUUGAUAAAUAUCAAACCGUUGAAUAAGAAAAGGAACCACACAUUUCACAUGUGGUGAGUUCAUGAAAUAAAAUAUCCAAUAGCCAUCAAAUUCACCCCUCAUUAUUCUCUGUUAGAAUUAAAAUCAGAUCCACCGACAGAUGUCUACAAUCCCGAGAAAGCCAAAAAAAAAAUCAAAAAUCAAAAGAGAAACAUAAAAAACACGUGAAAUUAACCGGUCUAGCAGGUCGCACCAACUGUGUUUCCCGGUGGAAUAAGCCCCACAUGGUUUUUAAUCAAGCAAAAGCCUUUAAAAACUAGAAAAGAACACCGUCUCCAAAAGUGUGUCUGCAACAUUACCGAAACGAAACCUUCCCAUUGGAUUCCCACCACCUUUUGUUUUGUUUUGUUUUUUAAAUUAAAUCUUUUGAGCAGAAACAGAGAAAGAAAAUUGUGUCGUAGUGGUUCUUUGUUUUAGUUCGAGAUGGAAAGAGAUUUUCUUGGUUUGAGCGACAAGAAGUAUCUCAGCAACGUUAAACGCGAGGCCAACGAUGAUCGUGUCGGAGAACGAGUAUUGAGCAAGAAGGCAGCUAUACAAUGGGGAAAGGCAAAGCUCUUGCCUAAUUCAAGUUUCAUGCCUGAUUUUCAGGCGGGCUCUUACCAGCGGGGCCCAGUUUCUGCGGCCAGCAAUCUCCGCAGAAGCCAAUUUAGCGGUGGUGCGUUUCAGAACGCGAAUCCGCUUUUACUUGGCGGUUCAGUUCCGUUAACAAAUCAUUCUUCUUUCCGUCCUGCUUUUAACUUGUCGGCGGAUGCUCGAGUGGCUUCCUCAGGAUCACUACCUCAGCUCACUAUCUUCUAUGGUGGAACUGUUAGCGUCUUUAAUAAUAUAUCUCCUGAUAAGGUAUAAUCAGUACAUAUUUUAUACAGUUAAAUGUACGAGUUGUACCAUGUAUAGUGAUAUGUGUGAUUAGGCUCAAGCUAUUAUGUUAUGUGCUCGGAACGGUUUGAAAGGAGAAACUGGAGAGAGCAGUUUGAAGAAACCAGUUCAAGAAACUGAAAGAGUUUAUGGAAAACAAGUCCAUAACGCUGCUGCUGCUGCGGCAUCAUCAAGCUCUGCCACUUACGCUGAUAGUUUCUCUAGGUGUAGAGACAUACCCGUUGGUGCGACUAAUGCAAUGAGCAUGAUCGAAUCAUUCAACGCAGCAGGUCCUGGAAAUAUGAUUCCUUCAGUUCCUCAAGCUCGUAAAGCCUCAUUGGCUCGGUUCUUGGAGAAGCGCAAAGAGAGGCUCAUGAGUGCACUGCCAUACAAGAAGAUGCUUCUUGAUUUGUCAACCGGAGAAUCAAGUGGAAUGAAUUACUCUUCUGCUUCGCAUACCUAAAACCCUUCUUCUUCCGUUUUUAAAGCCUCUGCGAGGUUUUAUUACGAUGGUAACUUGUAAUAUAAUCAACAGAUUAUUAUUAUAGCUACCAUUUAUUAUGUUACCAGCAGGAGAAGGCGUCAGGCGUCUAUGUAUUUGAGCAUUGUUGUAAUGGUUUAGUCUCUAAUUGUAGGUUCAUUUUUUUAUUUGAAACACUAACAUAUAUAUAUUUAUACGUUUGUCUUGUCUGUUAGUGUCGAGAAUAAAAACCAGUAUUGUUAGGAGUA